rnacentral:rRNA from 1 species
GUGUCAGCAGCCGCGGUAAUACAGAGAGUGCAAGCGUUAAUCGGAAUUACUGGGCGUAAAGCGCACGUAGGUGGAUACUUAAGUCGAAUGUGAAAGCCCCGGGCUUAACCUGGGAAUUGCAUCCGAUACUGGGUAUCUAGAGUAUGAUAGAGGGAAGUGGAAUUUCCGGUGUAGCGGUGAAAUGCGUAGAUAUCGGAAAGAACACCAGUGGCGAAGGCGGCUUCCUGGAUCAAUACUGACACUGAGGUGCGAAAGCGUGGGGAGCAAACAGGAUUAGAGACCCUGGUAGUCCACGCUGUCAACGAUGAGAACUAGCUGUUGGGAGGGUUAUACCUCUUGGUAGUGAAGCUAACGCGUUAAGUUCUCCGCCUGGGGAGUACGGCCGCAAGGUUAAA